UAUAAUAUGGCGGAGUGUACGCGAAUGUUCUAAGAUCAUUUUACGAGGAAAGUAAUUCUCUAUUAUAU